UAGGGUACUAUAUUAGUCUUUUUCUGUUUGUUUUUGGUUUUUUUGAGACAGAGUCUUGCUCUGUCACCCAGGCUGGAGUGCAGUGGCCCAAUCUCAGCUCACUGCAACCUCCGGCUCCUGGGUUCAAGCGAUUCUCCUGCCUCAGCCUCCCGAGUAGGUAGUAUUACAGGCAUCCACCACCAUGCUCUGCUAAUUUUUGUAUUUUUAGUAGAGAUGGGGUUUCACCAUGUUGGCCAGGCUGCUCUUGAACUCCAGACCUCAGGUGAUCCACCUGUUUCAGCCUCCCAAAGUGCUGGGAUUGCAGGCAUGAGCCACCGUGCCCGGCCCUAUUGGUCCAUUCUUACUCUGCCAUAAAGAUACCACCCAAGACUGGGUAAUUUAUAAAGGAAAGAGGUUUACUUGAUUCACAGUUCUGCAUGGCUAGGGAGGCCUCAGAAACUUACAAUCAUGGCAGAAGGCAAAGGGGAAGCAGUCACCUUCUUCACAAGGCGGCAGGAGAGACAGCGAGCCAAGGGAGAAGAGCCCCUUAUAAAACCAUCAGAUCUUGUGAGAACUCACUCACUAUCACGAUAACAGCAUGGGGGAAACUGUCCCCAUGAUCCAAUCACCUCCCACCAGGUCCUUCCCCGGAUUACAAUUCUGAUUACAAUUUGAGAUGAGAUUUGGGUGGGGACACAGCCAAACAAUAUCAGAUAGUUAUUAAAAAUAUACAUUAAAAAAAACUUUUUUGGAGACAAGGUAUGCCUUUGUCACCCAGGCUGGAAUGCAGAGGCACGAUCACAGCUCACUGCAGUCUCGACCUCCUGGGCUCAAGCAAUCAUCCCACCUCAGCCUCCCAAGUAGUUGGGACUACAGGCAUGUACCAUCGCACCCAGCUACUUUUUUGUAGAGAUGGGGUCUCACUAUGUUGCCAGGCUGGUCUCAAACUCCCGAGCUCAAGUGAUCAUCCUGCCUUGGCCUCCCGAAGUGCUGGGAUUACAAUCGUGAGCCACCCCGCCAGGCCAAAAAAAAGUAUUAACAAUGGGGAAAAUUCCCCUUCCUAGUCUAACCAAGCCUUAGGCAGAAGGUAAUGUGUGCCUCAAUUUUCCCUGCUUCCUGCUAACAUUCCGGUUCUGGUCUUUGCAGCAUAUGAGUUUGAAACCCUGGGGACACAAGAAUUGACAGGUGGGUGAAGAAUGACAGGUACAGUUUUGUGGGUUUUUGUUUUUGAGAUGCAGUCUGGCUCUGUCGCCAGACUGGAGUGCAGUGGCGUCAUCUCGGCUCACUGCAACCUCUGCCUCCUGGGUUUAAGUGAUUCUCCUAUCUCCGCCUCCUAAAUAGCUGGGAUUACAGUUGCAUGCCACCAUGGCGGGCUAAUUUUUAUAUUUUUAGUUGAGACCAGGUUUCACCAUGUUGGCCAGGAUGGUCUUGAUCUCUUGACCUCGUGAUCCGCCUGCCUGGGCCUCCCAAAGCGCUGGGAUUACAUGUGUGAGCCAUCGCGCCUGGCUGAGGUACAUUUUUUUUUUUUUUCCCAGCUUGGCCCAGUGCCAAGUUGAUCACCCACGAUUCCCGACCCCUACUCCUGCCCUAAGUUUAUGCUGAUCUAGGCCGUUCUUGUUUUUUAGGGAGGAGGAGUCUGGACUAGGAACAUGGCCAGUAAGCAGGCAGGGCACAUGGAGGAGGUCCGUGCUGGGCACUCCACCAUCACACACAGAGCUCAUUCCCGCCUCCAGCUGUCAGGACUGCCGCUCCAUACUCCAUCCACAGCCAACUCCUAGCUGGAGCGUCAGGUCUGGGUUUGGCCCUCCAGGGACUCCUGCUCCCUGCUCUUGCCCCACUUGUUCCAGGACAGCUUAAGACUUCUAGGCCAAGCACGGUGGCUCACAUCUAUAAUCUCAGCACUUUGGGAGGCCGAGGUGGGAGGAUCACUUGAGCCCAGGAAUUUGAGACCAGACUGGGCAACAUAGGGAGACCUCAUCUCUAAAAAAUAAAAGCUGGGUGCGGUGGCUCACACCUGUAAUCCCAGCACUUUGGGAGGCCAAGGUGGGUGGAUCACCUGAAGCCAGGAGUUUGAGACCAGCCUGGCCAACAUGGCGAAACUCCGUCUCUACUAAAAAUACAAAAAUUAGCCUGGGUUGUAGUGUGCACCUGUAAUCCCGGCUCCUUGGGAGGCUAAGGCAGGAGAAUCGCUUGAAACCGGGAGGCAGAGGUUGCAGUGGAUGGAGAUGGCGCCAGUGCACUCCAGCCUGGGUGACAGAGUGAGACUCCAUCUCAAAAAAAAAAAAAAAAAAAAAAAAAAAAUCCAGAGGCAAGAUUGCUCUCGAGAUGAAAGAACCAAACAAAGAGAAGGGAAAAGAGAAAGACGCAUGCAGAAACAGAAAUGAAAAGACAGGAUGUAGAGGUUAGGCAGAGAAAACAAAUCAGAAAGAGACAGAGAUGAGAUAGAACGACAGAGACAGAGAGAGAAGGAAGACAGAGACCAAGAGAGGCAGAGAGACAGACGAAACUAGGGGUCAGAAGGGAAGGGAAUGUCAUUUAGUGACUCAAAGCACAAACUGGGGUAGACUUGGAGAAAUAGACAGGAGGAGGCAAAAGAUAGAAAAUAGGUGGUUUUUAAUGGAAAAUUUUAUAAAAGGGAGAGGGCAUGUAAAGGGGCCCCUGGGCCAGGCCCGGGACCACGACAUCAGCGGGCGGCCCCGUGCACAUACGCAUAAG
rnacentral:lncRNA from 10 species